UACGUAGGGAGCAAGCGUUGUCCGGAAUCAUUGGGCGUAAAGCGCGCGUAGGCGGCCUCAUAAGUCCGUUGUGAAAGUCAAAGGCUCAAUCUUUGAAAGCCGAUGGAUACUGUGAGGCUAGAGUCCGGAAGAGGCGAGUGGAAUUCCUGGUGUAGCGGUGGAAUGCGCAGAUAUCAGGAGGAACACCAAUAGCGAAGGCAGCUCGCUGGGACGUUACUGACACUGAGGCGCGAAAGCGUGGGGAGCGAACAGG
rnacentral:rRNA from 1 species